UAAACCAAGCAUAGGCAACCUCAGCCCUCCAGAUUUUUUUGACUACAACUCCCAUCAUCCCUAGCUAACAGGACCAGUGGUGAGGGGUGAUGGGAGUUGUAGUCUCAAAACAUCUGGAGAGCCGAGGUUGCCUAUGCCUGGUCUA